ACGGGAGGCAGCAGUGAGGAAUAUUGGUCAAUGGUCGGAAGACUGAACCAGCCAAGUCGCGUGCAGGAAGACGGUCCUAUGGAUUGUAAACUGCUUUUGUACGGGGAUAAAGUGAGGGACGUGUCCCUUUUGGGAUGUACCGUAAGAAUAAGGGUCGGCUAACUCCGUGCCAGCAGCCGCGGUAAUACGGAGGACCCGAGCGUUAUCCGGAUUUAUUGGGUUUAAAGGGUGCGCGGGCGGAGGAUUAAGUCAGCGGUGAAAUUUUCAUGCUCAACAUGAAAACUGCCAUAGAUACUGGUCCCCUUGAGAGAUGUCGAGGAUGGCGGAAUGUGAUGUGUAGCGGUGAAAUGCUUAGAUAUGUCACAGAACACCGAUUGCGAAGGCAGCUGUCCAGAGAUCUUCUGACGCUCAGGCACGAAAGCAUGGGUAUCAAACAGGAUUAGAUACCCUGGUA
rnacentral:rRNA from 1 species